GCUGCUUGACCAUCACAAAACAACGCCGUCAGUGACUCACGAGGACCAAUCAAAUUCAAAGCUGGCCUCCAUGUUCUCUGUCUCUGUCUCUCUCUCGGUUUUGACAGUUUGUGCAAGCUGCUUUUAGCUGGAUCCACUUGCCCUCAGCAGCAACAAACCAUGCAGCAAACUUGAGGAGGAACGUUAGAAUCCAUCAAAACUUGGGGUCGGCGUAUACAACCGCUUGGAUCGAGAAACGCUA
rnacentral:lncRNA from 1 species